CCAGCCCCCCUGGGAUUGAAACCCGCCCCAGAUCCUACGGGAGGCAGCAGUGGGGAAUUUUGGGCAAUGGGGGAAACCCUGAUCCAGCCAUCCCGGGUGUAUGAUGAAGGCCUUCGGGUUGUAAAGUACUUUUGGCAGAGAAGAAAAGGUAUCCCCUAAUACGGGAUACUGCUGACGGUAUCUGCAGAAUAAGCACCGGCUAACUACGUGCCAGCAGCCGCGGUAAUACGUAGGGUGCAAGCGUUAAUCGGAAUUACUGGGCGUAAAGCGUGUGUAGGCGGUUCGGAAAGAAAGAUGUGAAAUCCCAGGGCUCAACCUUGGAACUGCAUUUUUAACUGCCGAGCUAGAGUAUGUCAGAGGGGGGUAGAAUUCCACGUGUAGCAGUGAAAUGCGUAGAUAUGUGGAGGAAUACCGAUGGCGAAGGCAGCCCCCUGGGAUAAUACUGACGCUCAGACACGAAAGCGUGGGGAGCAAACAGGAUUAGAUACCCUGGUAGUCCACGCCCUAAACGAUGUCAACUAGCUGUUGGGGCCGUUAGGCCUUAGUAGCGCAGCUAACGCGUGAAGUUGACCGCCUGGGGAGUACGGUCGCAAGAUUAAAACUCAAAGGAAUUGACGGGGACCCGCACAAGCGGUGGAUGAUGUGGAUUAAUUCGAUGCAACGCGAAAAACCUUACCUACCCUUGAC
rnacentral:rRNA from 1 species